rnacentral:piRNA from 1 species
GGAAGUUUGAUCACAUGAGCUGGGUAAAG